GAUGAACGCUGGCGGCGUGCCUAAUACAUGCAAGUCGAACGCACAGCGAAAGGUGCUUGCACCUUUCAAGUGAGUGGCGAACGGGUGAGUAACACGUGGACAACCUGCCUCAAGGCUGGGGAUAACAUUUGGAAACAGAUGCUAAUACCGAAUAAACUUAGUGUCGCAUGACACAAAGUUAAAAGGACGCUUUGGUCGUCACCUAAACGAAUGGAGUCCGCCGGUG
rnacentral:rRNA from 1 species